rnacentral:rRNA from 1 species
UACGGAGGGUGCGAGCGUUAAUCGGAAUUACUGGGCGUAAAGCGCACGCAGGCGGUUUGUUAAGCUAGAUGUGAAAGCCCCGGGCUCAACCUGGGAUGGUCAUUUAGAACUGGCAGACUAGAGUCUUGGAGAGGGGAGUGGAAUUCCAGGUGUAGCGGUGAAAUGCGUAGAUAUCUGGAGGAACAUCAGUGGCGAAGGCGACUCCCUGGCCAAAGACUGACGCUCANGUGCGAAAGUGUGGGUAGCGAACAGG